GGUGAGUACAGCUCAGUGGCAGAACUUGUGCAUGGCAUGCACAAGGUUUGGGUUCAAUCCCCAGUACCACCA
rnacentral:tRNA from 1 species